rnacentral:tRNA from 1 species
GUUAGGGUGGCAGAGCCUGGUAAUUGCAAAAGGCCUAAGCCCUUUAAGCAGAGGUUCAAAUCCUCUCCCUAACU